rnacentral:rRNA from 1 species
GAUCUGAAAAGUACCCCGGGAGGGGAGUGAAAUAGUCUCUGAAACCGUGCGCCUACAAACCGUCGGAGCCCUGAGGGGUGACGGCGUGCCUAUCGAAAAAUGAGUCUGCGAGUCAGUGGCACGUGGCGAGCGUAACCCGUGUGGGGUACGCGUAGCGAAGGCGAGUCUCAAAAGGCGUUUGAGUCGCGUGUCCUGGACCCGAAGCGGGAUGAUCUAGCCCUGAGCAGGUUGAAGCGCGGGUAAGACCGCGUGGAGGACCGAACCCACCUGGGUUGAAAACCGGGGGGAUGACUUGGGGCUAGGGGUGAAAGGCCAAUCAAAUUCCGUGAUAGCUGGUUCUCUCCGAAAUGCAUUUAGGUGCAGCGUCGGUUGAUUGCAUCGCGGGGGUAGAGCUACUGGAUGCUUGCGGGCCCGUAUCGGGUACCAACAGCAACCAAACUCCGAAUACCGGUGACGCGUAUCCCGGCAGUGAGUCGGCGGGGGAUAAGCUCCGUCGUCGAAAGGGAAACAGCCCAGAUCGUCGUCUAAGGUCCCCAAGCGUGUGCUAAGUGGGAAAGGAUGUGGAGUCGCAUAGACAGCCAGGAGGUUGGCUCAGAAGCAGCCACCCUUGAAAGAGUGCGUAACAGCUCACUGGUCUAGUGGUUCCGCGCCGACAAUGUAGCGGGGCUCAAGCACACCACCGAAGACGCGGCAGUAUUUUGUACUGGGUAGGAGAGCGUCCCAUGAGGGGCGAAGCGGCCGUGUGAACGCGCCGUGGACUUCAUGGGAGUGAGAAUGCAGACAUGAGUAGCGAGAGACGGGUGAAGAUCCCGUCCGCUGGACGACCAAGGGUUCCAGGGCCACGUUCAUCGUCCCUGGGUGAGUCGGGUCCUAAGGCGAGGCCGACAGGCGUAGUCGAAUGGAUGAACGGGCUGAUAUUCCCGUACCGGCAGCGAACCGAAACAACCGAGGCCUGGGGCGCUAACCUCCGGGUCCGUGCCGUCUCCCCUUUCGGGGGGUCGCGGCGCGGGCGCGUUGGGAUCCCCCCUCGUAGUAGGUCAGCGCAGGAGUGACGCAUCAGGGCAGCCGGCCGCGGAGGUGGUUUUCCGUGGUCAAGCGUUCGAGCCCGUCCCGCAGGCAAAUCCGCGGGGCGUCGGGGCGAGGCGUGAUGAUGGGGGCCUUACGGCCCGAAUCCGGUGAUCCGUGGUGCCGAGAAAAGCUUCGGCGUCAGGCGCGUUGCCGCCCGUACCCCAAACCGACACUGGUGGUCAGGUAGAGAAUACCAAAGCGAUCGAGCGAAUCCUGGUCAAGGAACUCGGCAAAUUGCUCCCGUGCCUUCGGCAUAAGGGAGACCCCCUGCGGUGAUGAGCGGCGGGGGGUGGCACAGGCCAGGGGGUAGCGACUGUUUACCAAAAACACAGGUGCAUGCGAAGGCGCAAGCCGCUGUAUAUGCACUGACGCCUGCCCGGUGCCGGAAGGUUAAGAGGAUCCGUCAGCUUUCUGCGAAGCGGUGAAUUCAAGCCCCGGUAAACGGCGGUGGUAACUAUAACCAUCCUAAGGUAGCGAAAUUCCUUGUCGGGUAAGUUCCGACCUGCACGAAUGGCGUAACGACUUCCCCACUGUCUCGACCAGGAGCUCGGCGAAAUUGCAGUACGAGUAAAGAUGCUCGUUAAGCGCAGAAGGACGAAAAGACCCCGGGACCUUUACUAUACCUUGGUAUUGGCGUUAGGCGCGGAUUGUGUAGCAUAGGCGGGAGGCUUCGAAGCAUGGGCGCCAGCCCGUGUGGAGCCGCAAGGUGAAAUACCGCUCUGUUCUCGUUUGAUGUCUAACCUCGAACAGUCAUCCUGUUCAGGGACAGUGCCUGGCGGGUAGUUCAACUGGGGCGGUUGCCUCCCAAAGAGUAACGGAGGCGCUCAAAGGUCCGCUCGGCCCGGUUGGCAAUCGGGUGUCGAGUGUAAUCGCACAAGCGGGCUUGACUGCGAGAUCGACGGAUCGAGCAGGGACGAAAGUCGGAGAUAGUGAUCCGGUGCCGGCGCACGGGCGCGGCAUCGCUCAACGGAUAAAAGGUACCCCGGGGAUAACAGGCUGAUCAUUCCCAAGAGUCCAUAUCGACGGGAUGGUUUGGCACCUCGAUGUCGGCUCGUCGCAUCCUGGGGCUGGAGCAGGUCCCAAGGGUUCGGCUGUUCGCCGAUUAAAGCGGCACGCGAGCUGGGUUCAGAACGUCGUGAGACAGUUUGGUCUCUAUCCUCUGCGCUCGUUGGAAUCCUGAGGAGGCCUGCCCAUAGUACGAGAGGACCUGGGUGGACGAACCUCUGGUAUGCCGGUUGUCACGCCAGUGGCACGGCCGGUUGGCUACGUUCGGAAGGGAUAACCGCUGAAAGCAUCUAAGCGGGAAGCCUUCUCCAAGAUAAGGAUUCCAUGCGGCCCCGAGCCGCUGAAGACCCCAUGCAGAACACGUGGUCGAUAGGCCGGACGUGGAAGCCCCGCGAGGGGUGGAGCCGACCGGUACUAAUGGUCGAGAGGCAACCCACA